AAAUUUGCAAAAGAUGCCAGGAUCUCCCAGAAGAGUAAACAAUCAUGAUGUUGAAAUGUCAACUGUGGAAACAGCAGUCAAGAAAGUCCCCUCUUUUGGUUGUCCUGGUGAUAUCUUCAUCAUGUUCCAGAUUGAGGGACCAGCAGAUGGCAUAAUGCCUUCUUCCACUGACAAUGAAUUCUUUCAACAACAUGCUCAUAUUUUCCCAGCCAUCACCUAUAU